GACGAACGCUGGCGGCGUGCUUAACACAUGCAAGUCGAACGAAGUGGCGGACGGGUGAGUAACGCGUAAUCAACCUGCCCUUCAGAGGGGAUCACCAGUUGGAAACGAAGCCUAAUACCGCAUACUGAAGGAGGGGAUUGCGUCGGAUUAGCUAGUCGGAGGGGUUAUGGCCAACCAAGGCGAUAAUCAGUAGCCGGGCUGGGAGGAUGAACGGCCACAGAGGGACUGGGACACGGCUCAGACUCCUAAGGGGAGGAGGAGUGGGGAAUCAGUGGAAAAUGACGAAAGGCUGACUGAGCAACGCCGCGGGGGUGAUAACAGCCUUCGGGUUGGAAAGCUCGGUUAAUCGGGACGCGGUACCGGAAGAGAAAGCCACGGCUAACUACGUGCCAGCAGCCGCGGUAAUUC
rnacentral:rRNA from 1 species